CCUACGGGUGGCUGCAGUGAGGAAUAUUGGUCAAUGGGCUCGAGCCUGAACCAGCCAAGUAGCGUGAAGGAUGACUGCCCUACGGGUUGUAAACUUCUUUUAUAAAGGAAUAACGUAAUGCACGUGUGCCUUUUUGUAUGUACUUUAUGACUAAGGAUCGGCUAACUCCGUGCCAGCAGCCGCGGUAAUACGUAGGAUCCGAGCGUUAUCCGGAUUUAUUGGGUUUAAAGGGAGCGUAGAGGGGUUGUUAAGUCAGUUGUGAAAGUUUGCGGCUUAACCGUAAAAGUGCAAUUGAUACUGGCAGUCUUGAGUACAGUUGAGGUAUGCGGAAGUCGUGGUGUAGCGGUGAAAUGCUUAGAUAGCACGAAGAACUCCGAUUGCGAAGGCAGCUUACU
rnacentral:rRNA from 1 species